rnacentral:rRNA from 1 species
AGUGAACGCUGGCGGUAGGCCUAACACAUGCAAGUCGAACGGCAGCACAGUAAGAGCUUGCUCUUACGGGUGGCGAGUGGCGGACGGGUGAGGAAUACAUCGGAAUCUACUUUUUCGUGGGUGAUAACGUAGGGAAACUUACGCUAAUACCGCAUACGACCUACGGGUGAAAGCAGGGGAUCUUCGGACCUUGCGCGAUUGAAUGAGCCGAUGUCGGAUUAGCUAGUUGGCGGGGUAAAGGCCCACCAAGGCAACGAUCCGUAGCUGGUCUGAGAGGAUGAUCAGCCACACUGGAACUGAGACACGGUCCAGACUCCUACGGGAGGCAGCAGUGGGGAAUAUUGGGCAAUGGGCGCAAGCCUGAUCCAGCCAUACCGCGUGGGUGAAGAAGGCCUUCGGGUUGUAAAGCCCUUUUGUUGGGAAAGAAAAGCAGCAGGUUAAUACCCCGCUGUUCUGACGGUACCCAAAGAAUAAGCACCGGCUAACUUCGUG